GCAGCCUCCAACUCCUGGGCUCAAGCUAUCCUCCUGCCCCAGCUUCCAAAGUAGCUGGGACUACAGACAUGCACCACCACACCCAGCUAACUUGUUUUGUUUUUUGUAGAGAUGGGAACUCACUGUGUUGCCUAGGCUGGACUUGAACUCCUGGGCUCAUGCGAUCCUCCCUCCUUAGCCUCCCAAAAUGCUGGGAGUACAGGUGGGAGCCACUGUAUCCAGCCAACUUUAAAAAUACGCCCAUAAAAACAGUGUGAUACUUGUACAAGAUGCUUCUAAUUUAUACACUGCGGGCAGUUAGUGAGCAUUCAAGGACAAAUCAGGACCUAGCCUUCCAGGAGUGGUUAACAGAUGAAGUGACUUAAUCAAGGAUCAAUAUCUUCAAAGGUAGUUACUUAGCAUUUAAGUUAUAGUAUGAAAAGCUACACUAGAGAGUUUAUUAGCAUAAGGGAUGCUAGAAAUAGUUGUAUUGGCUACAUGAAUAGGUGAUUCAUUCUAAAAGAGGUCAUUGGUUAGAAAUAUUACACAGCCUCCAGUGGCCUUGCAUAUUUGAGGCUAAAAAGGCAAGUCAGGCAUUUUCAUGCCAGGGGACAUUCCUAUUGAUUCUGUCUUUCCCAUUCCCUGUGGACCUAACAAAAAUGUGCCCUGCACUUCUGAGCAAACCUUCCAGGCAAGGCACCUGUCUGAGUGACACAGGACAGGUUGGGUGACCAGGUUGCAGGACUCUUUAUACCAGCUUGCUAAUAAAUAUUUGUAUGCUUAGUAGAAUUUAGUUGAAGACUCGCUUUCAUCGUUAUCCACUAUUAGGAACAUGGCUGAGGAAAGAGACCUCAGCCCACUUAUCUCAGAAGGUCGUGGUCUUUGCCAGGUGACCCCUGCUGCUUGCUGAGUGUCUGGACUUGCUUAGGUGUGUCAGCAACAGUCCCACAGCUGGUGAGGGACAAAGGCAGAAUUUGGGACCAGCUCCAUCUUCUCCAAACCCCAGCUGCCCCUUGAAAGAAAGGAUGGUGCUGUUGAGGCUCAGAAACGGAUACCUAAAAAACGGCACUUUGACAUGCUGGACUACAGAAGCAGCCUCCAGGUCUCUCUGACCUCCCCCUCCUGUCUCUCAAUCUUCUCUCUGUCCCAAAGUGCAGGAUGAAGCUGUUCUCUGAAGUUCCCUUAUCUGCCUAAAGUCUGCACCCACCAAAGAAGAAAACAAUCACUUCUGGUCCCUUCCCUGAGUUUUCAUUAACCAAGCUCAUAUCGCAGGAAGAAAGGCUGAAGCUUAUCAACACACCUGGACAGACUUGUCACAAACCAUUGUCUUCUGCUUCAGUCCCAUUCAGUAUUUCAAAGAGAAUAUUUUACCAGCCAUUGUCUGCUCUGUGGACCCAACAGACAUUGUCCCAGGCCAUCGUAUGUUCUCCAAGCCCAUUGAAUUAUCCUAAAAAUCAUUUACUAUACCUCUCAAAGCCGUCCACAUUUCUCCAGCUUUCCCCUAUGAAGGGUAUAUAAGCAUCUGUAACCCAUCAGGUUACGGGGUCAUUGAUUUCCUAUGGUUCCCCCCAUUGCAGGUUAAAAUAAAUUCUAUAUGCCUUUUUUCCUGUGAAUCUGCCUCUUGUCAGUUGGUGUUCUGCAAACCUUCAGAGCGUGGCGAGAAAGUUUUCCCUUGGCCCCUGCAGUUUUGGCACUGUGAGCAGGACAACCAAAUCCACUCUGCUUUUCUGGAAGCUGCAGUCAAGGGAACCCAGGACCUGACAAGCUGGCAGAAGGGAUGACUGGGACUGAUACCCCUAAGCCCUUGAACUAGGAUAGCAGAGUUCUGCAUACUCCUCUUCCUGACCUUUCAUCCAUUCAACCAAGACUUACUGAUCACCUGCAAUGUUCAAAACACUGAGAGUAUGCAGGCGAAUCAGACUCCCAGUGUACUUCCAUCUGCAGCACACAGGACAUCACAGAUUGUCAACGCUGUCACACAGUACUGCUCUGGUUAUUCCUCGUGGUUAUCUUUGCUCCUCAGGGAGAUGGUGAGUGUCCAGCUCCAUGGAAGUCCUCUUGAGCUUGCCAGGUACACAGACCCCCUGCGAGUCUCUGUAAACUUGGGCAUUCUGUGUGCUGGGCUCUUGAUUUCUUGCAAACUGAUUUCAGAAUUCACUUAUAUAAAUUUUUUUUUAUUUUACUUUUUCUUUUUUCUGUUUAUUUAGAGACAAGUUCUCCCUCGGCUGCCCAGACUAGAGUGCAGUGGUGUGAUCAUAGCUCACUGAAGCCUCAAACUCCUAGGCUCCAGAGAUCCUCCCACCUCAGCCUCCUGAGCAGCUGAGACUACAGGCAUGCACCCCCACACCUGGCUAAUUUUUUAAUUUUUUGUAGAGACGGGUCUCACCAUGUUGCCUAGGCUGGUCUCAAACUCCUGAGCUCAAGCAAACCUCCCAUUUCGACCUUCCAAAGUGUUGGAACUCCAGGUGUGAGCCACCACACCCGGCCCACUUAUAGGUUUUUUGAGCUAUAAUCGCCACUGCACUCCAGUCUGGGCG
rnacentral:lncRNA from 1 species